rnacentral:tRNA from 1 species
AAGGGUAUAGCUCAGUGGUAGAGUGUUUGCCUAGCAUACACAAGGUCCUGGGUUCAAUCCCCAGUGCCUCAA